GACGAACGCUGGCGGCGUGCUUAACACAUGCAAGUCGAACGGUAAGGCCCUUCGGGGUACACGAGUGGCGAACGGGUGAGUAACACGUGGGUGAUCUGCCCUGCACUUCGGGAUAAGCCUGGGAAACUGGGUCUAAUACCGGAUAGGACCCUGGGAUGCAUGUCCUGGGGUGGAAAGCUUUUGCGGUGUGGGAUGGGCCCGCGGCCUAUCAGCUUGUUGGUGGGGUGAUGGCCUACCAAGGCGACGACGGGUAGCCGGCCUGAGAGGGUGACCGGCUACACUGGGACUGAGAUACGGCCCAGACUCCUACGGGAGGCAGCAGUGGGGAAUAUUGCUCAAUGGGCGCAAGCCUGAUGCAGCGACGCCGCGUGAGGGAUGACGGCCUUCGGGUUGUAAACCUCUUUCAGCACCGACGAAGCGCAAGUGACGGUAGGUGCAGAAGAAGGACCGGCCGACUACGUGCCAGCCGCCGCAGUAA
rnacentral:rRNA from 1 species